UACGAAGGGGGGCUAGCGUUGCUCGGAAUCACUGGGCGUAAAGCGCACGUAGGCGGCUUCUUAAGUCAGGGGUGAAAUCCUGGAGCUCAACUCCAGAACUGCCUUUGAUACUGAGGAGCUUGAGUCCGGGAGAGGUGAGUGGAACUGCGAGUGUAGAGGUGAAAUUCGUAGAUAUUCGCAAGAACACCAGUGGCGAAGGCGGCUCACUGGCCCGGUACUGACGCUGAGGUGCGAAAGCGUGGGGAGCAAACAGGG
rnacentral:rRNA from 1 species